UCAUUUAAAUGUGUUUUCCUUUGCAUAUUGUAAAAUACUCACAGAUAUCAUUUACAUGAUAACGCAAGAAUGCAUACAUAACUUGAAUUUUAUCAAAAGAGAUAUUCUUCUCAAGAAACCAAGAGAGAAUUUUAUAAAAAAAAAUCCCUUAUAUAUUAAUCCUGGAGCAUUACAACAUGUUUUCGUAGCCACGUGUCAUCACGAGAAUGAUUCUUAGAAUUGUUAGAAAAAUAAGUUGGUCCAUAUAAAUAUAUAAUAUGAUUUUUAUUAAACUAACUAUCAAAUUAAUUAAUAGUGUACAAAAGAAUAUUUGUUUCUUUCCUUAAAUAAAAACUACGGAAUUACCUAAUAUGGUUAACAUAUAUAUGACAAUUAAUGCUUAUGAAUAAUAAAUAUUUUAUAAAAACAAUUCUAACCUCUC
rnacentral:lncRNA from 1 species